UACAGAGGGUGCGAGCGUUAAUCGGAAUUACUGGGCGUAAAGCGUGCGCAGGCGGUUUCACAAGCUCGAUGUGAAAGCCCCGGGCUUAACCUGGGAAUGGCAUUGAGGACUGUGGAGCUCGAGUGCGGCAGAGGGAGGUGGAAUUCCACGUGUAGCAGUGAAAUGCGUAGAUAUCAGGAGGAACACCGGUGGCGAAGGCGGGUCUCUGGGCAACAACUGACGCUGAGGAGCGAAAGCGUGGGGAGCGAACAGG
rnacentral:rRNA from 1 species